GGGCCUAUGGUGUAGUGGUAUCACUCAUGCUUUGCAAGUUCGACUCUUGGAAUGUGUAUGCGGUCUCGGGUUCGAACCCCGAUGGGUCCA